rnacentral:tRNA from 1 species
UCCGCGCUGGUGUAAUGGCAGCACGCCGGCCUUUGGAUCCGGAUGGUAGAAGUUCGAAUCUUCUGCGCGGAG